AAGUUACUCUGAAGUAAAUCAGAGUGUUCAAAAGCACGCCAUCCGCUUGAAUAUACUAGCACGAGGAUAACAUGACAAGGACUCUGGGCCGAUCGUGUUUGGUCUAUAGGAUCAAGAGUAAUUACUUCAGAGGGCCCGUCGGGGGCCAUUUGUAUUCCGUUCUCAGAGCAGAAAUUUCUUGCAUUUAAGGAAAGACGAAAAUUGGGAAAAGCAUUUCCCAAGGAUGUUUUUCCUUUGAUCCCAGACCGAAAAUUCGGGCCUCGAAGACGAUUAGAAACCGUCGUAGUUUCCACCUAUCAACGAGUUUUAUAUAUAUAUUUUUUUGAUUCAUUCUGGUGGGUUCUAGCGGUCCGCUUCGGUGAGUACUGCUAUGGCCUUCCUUUCUACGGGGGACGGGCUCCUGGGAUUAACUUCUCGGGAUCCGGAUUCCGUGAUGAUACUUUGAGUAAAUUGGAGUGUUCAAAGCAAGCCUGCGCUCUGAACAUUUUAGCAUGGAAUAUCACGAUAGGACUCUGGCCUAUCUUGUUGGUCUGUAGGACCAGAGUAAUGAUUAAGAGGGACAGUCGGGGGCAUUCGUAUUUCAUUGUCAGAGGUGAAAUUCUUGGAUUUAUGAAAGACGAACUACUGCGAAAGCAUUUGCCAAGGAUGUUUUCAUUAAUCAAGAACGAAAGUUGGGGGCUCGAAGACGAUUAGAUACCGUCGUAGUCUCAACCAUAAACGAUGCCGACUAGGGAUUAGCAGACGUUUCAUUGAUGACUCUGCUAGCACCUUAUGUGAAAACAAAGUUUUUGGGUUCCGGGGGGAGUAUGGUCGCAAGGCUGAAACUAAAGGAAUGAC
rnacentral:rRNA from 1 species